rnacentral:rRNA from 1 species
AUAGAUCUUAAUAUUUAAAAUAAUUAAUUGAGUUAAUUUUUAAUUUUUGAUUAUUAUGUAAUUUAUUUAAUUGGGGUGAUUAGAAGAUAAUAAAAACUCUUCUUUAAAGUUAAAUAUUGUAAGUAAUUAUGUGAUCCAUAUUUAAUGAUUAAAAGAUUAAAUUACCUUAGGGAUAACAGCAUAAUUUUUUUUAAGAGUUCAUAUCGAAAAAAAAGAUUGUGACCUCGAUGUUGGAUUAAGAUUAGUUUUGGGUGUAGAAGUUCAAUAACUAGGUCUGUUCGACCUUAUAAUUCUUACA